UCCCUGGUGGCUCAGAAGGUAAAGCAUCUGCCUACAGUGCGGGAGACCAAGGUUCGAUCCCUGGGUGGGGAA
rfam:Ovis aries breed Texel chromosome 9, whole genome shotgun sequence.